rnacentral:lncRNA from 1 species
UGGAAGAAGGAAAAGGAAAGAAAACAUGGAUUAGACAAAUAGUCUAGAAGGUCAAUAGUUUGAAAGUAUAUAAUUCACCAUCAAGGGGCUACAGGGUCCGUAGGUAAAAGAGUGAGCUAGUAAUGGUCUACAAUUUAUUAACGGGUAGGUGCAAUCUGCAGGGGGUGGGGUCAGGAUGUUUAAAGAACCAAGUUACCAAGAAGUUAUAUAUAAAGAAAAUACUACCAUGAUUAUCAAAGGGCGGUAUCUAUGCAAACGGAAUAAACUCAAGUAAAAGUAAACAGUUAUUGUAGGGGGUUUAAGAAAAAUUUACUCACAAAAAUUAAUACCGAGAAUCCCACGUAUGGUCCACAAUGGGGCAUGUCUAAGACCAGCGGUCAGUUACAAUUUGAAUCGAGGUCACAAGUUAAGACCGUUACAAAGGAUUUGUUUGUAAAAUAAACAAGAAUAGGAAAAAGAAGAAAAAAGUUACGGGGGAGAAGUCAAUGAAUAGGCAUUGUGGGGCCGUGUAUGUCUUGCAGCAUCUUAACGUUAUGACAUGCAUGAGGGAAGAGUGAAGGAAUCCAUGGGAUUGUGGUUAAGGGGAAGCAACUAGUACUGGUAAUUCAGUGGUUCAAUGAAAGCUACUACAGAAUAUAUAUAAACUUUACCUAACAUAGGAAUUGUGCGAUAAAGAAGACACGGACGAAUCAAUUGUAAGAAACAAGAGCAAUUACAAACCUAUGUAAGAGGAUGGUGGAUUAACAGAACUGGUAAUGUUGGAGGAAAGAAGCUUUCUGAAAAGAGAGAAGAAUGAAAAUCUGUCUAAUGUGAAAAAUGAAAAUAUAGUGAUGAUAAUGAUGAUGGUAGGGUUGAUGAUAAAUAAGAAUGAUUUUAGGAGUGGAAAGGAAGAUGAUAGUGGUAGAGAUGAUGGACGUGGUAAUGAGAAUAAUGAAGAUGAUAACAAUAAUGAUGGUGAUGAUGAAGAUCAAUUAUGAUGGGAUUGCUUUUGAAAAUUUAGACUGACAGACAAAUAGAAAAUGGUACUGAUGAUUAUGCAGUUUAUAUUCCUAGCCAAAUAUAUCCUAACAGAUAUAUGUAUAUUUAUAUGUAUCAUAUAUAAAAAAAUACGAAAUGG